ACCACACACAUGCGCUGAAUCCCCCACACCCCCACCUUCCUCCCGAUCGGGACCCCCGCACCCGCCAUCUUCCUCGCCGCCCCGACCCCGCCUUCUUCCCCUCCGGGCUCCCGCGCCCCCACGCGCCGUCCGCCACCACCUCCACAUCCACCGCCGGCCGCCCAAAAGCGUUGUGCCGCCAGCCACCCCUUCCUACCCCAACGUGAGAUCUCCCCCUUCCCUUUUCCUCCGCCUCCCGACAGAUCAGCGCCGGCGUGCCCCCUCCCACGCACGACCAGCACCGCUGGAUCCGGCCACCGCGAGGCACCUGCGCCGCACUCCCGCCGAGAACCUCCUUCCGCCGGCUCACCAACUCCAUCCCCCUGCUCGAAUCCAGCACAUCAGCCAAGCAAAGGCUGGAUCCACCUCCACCGCACGCUUGCCCCCGACCGGAUCGGGCCAGACUCCACCGCGCUAGCCCACCCGGCCUCUCCUCGCCGGAGAUCCUCAUCCUCCCUCUGCUUGCACCCACUCCAUAGUGCGGGAUUCACACAGACAACUCCGAAUCUCCCGUCCAGCGAGGCCAUGGAAGAGAGCUGCAACUUCCUCUGGUAUGACCUGCACUGCCCCUACCUCGCCACCACUAACUCUAGACACUCUCCCGACGAGCAGCACAGGUGCAGUUUGCUCCAGCCUCCCAAUGUGGUUAGGUCGCCCAGGUGCUGCAGUGAGGUUCCCUCGCACGUGCAGUUGGAGCCGCCCCCGUGCUAUUUUGCUUUGGUGCUGGUCAUCGGAGACCCCCGAUUGUGUAUUUUUCCUCUUUGUAAUUUUUUGGCCUAUUUGUGGACUCCCAUUUGAUUGCAGCCCAUGCGCACGACGCAUGCAGUCCAGUGGUGUGGGCGUGUAGUUCACCGGGGAACUACAGAAGCAAGUAAAACAUUUCUAACUUCCCUUUGUUCUUAUGAAAAAGUGUGAGAAAAAUGUAAAAUAAUACAAAGAGUGAUGUAGUCCAUUGGGGCACUGCUUGCGGUUGGCACGGCUUGUGUGUGAAGUUUUUUUGUAUUUUUUCUUUGGUUCGGACGACAUGGUUCACUAUCAGGUUCACUUUGGUCGCCAUCCAAAAAAACUGAACCCUCUUGCUGCAGUACACUUUGUUGUUGUAGAAAGAAAAAAUAUAUAUUUUAUGCAGUGCACUUUGAUUCCUUGUGCAGAAAAAAAAUACUGAAAAAUUGAUGCA